ensembl:miRNA
GACACUUGGGAGGGAAGGCACCUGGAGGGUAUGGUCACAGCAGCAUCCUCCUCUGUUCUCUCUCCUAG